rnacentral:rRNA from 1 species
UACGGGAGGCAGCAGUGGGGAAUAUUGCACAAUGGGCGAAAGCCUGAUGCAGCCAUGCCGCGUGUAUGAAGAAGGCCUUCGGGUUGUAAAGUACUUUCAGUCGUGAGGAAGGUGUUAAGGUUAAUAACCUUAGCAAUUGACGUUAGCGACAGAAGAAGCACCGGCUAACUCCGUGCCAGCAGCCGCGGUAAUACGGAGGGUGCGAGCGUUAAUCGGAAUUACUGGGCGUAAAGGGCACGCAGGCGGUUAAUUAAGUUGGAUGUGAAUCCCCGGGCUUAACCUGGGAAUGGCAUUCAAGACUGGUUAGCUAGAGUCUUGUAGAGGGGGUAGAAUUCCAUGUGUAGCGGUGAAAUGCGUAGAGAUGUGGAGGAAUACCGGUGGCGAAGGCGGCCCCUGGACAAAGACUGACGCUCAUGUGCGAAAGCGUGGGGAGCAAACGAGGAUUAGAUACC